ACGCCUAAUACAUGCAAGUCGAACGAAGUAGCAAUACUUAGUGGCAGACGGGUGAGUAACAUGUGGGUAUCUUCCCUUUGGUGAGGAAUAACACGAGGAAACUUGUGCUAAUACCUCAUAAGUCUUUACGGAGAAAGCUUUAUGCGCCAAUGGAUGAGCCUGCACUUGAUUAGUUUGUUGGUGGGGUAAUGGCCUACCAAGACUUUGAUCAAUAGCUGAUUUGAGAGGAUGAUCAGCCACAUUGGGACUGAGACACGGCCCAAACUCCUACGGGAGGCAGCAGUAGGGAAUCUUGCACAAUGGGGGAAACCCUGAUGCAGCGAUGCCGCGUGAGUGAAGAAGGCCUUUGGGUUGUAAAGCUCUUUCGUCGGGGAAGAAAAUGACUGUACCCGAAUAAGAAGGUCCGGCUAACUUCGUGCCAGCAGCCGCGGUAAUACGAAGGGACCUAGCGUAGUUCGGAAUUACUGGGCUUAAAGAGUUCGUAGGUGGUUAAAAAAGUUGGUGGUGAAAUCCCAGAGCUUAACUCUGGAACUGCCAUCAAAACUUUUUAGCUAGAGUAUGAUAGAGGAAAGCAGAAUUUCUAGUGUAGAGGUGAAAUUCGUAGAUAUUAGAAAGAAUACCAAUUGCGAAGGCAGCUUUCUGGAUCAUUACUGACACUGAGGAACGAAAGCAUGGGUAGCGAAGAGGAUUAGAUACCCUCGUAGUCCAUGCCGUAAACGAUGUGUGUUCGACGUUGGAAAUUUAUUUUUCAGUGUCUCAGCGAAAGCAAUAAACACACCGCCUGGGGAGUACGAC
rnacentral:rRNA from 1 species